rnacentral:rRNA from 1 species
GAUGAACGCUGGCGGCGUGCCUAAUACAUGCAAGUCGAGCGAAUGGAUUGAGAGCUUGCUCUUAUGAAGUUAGCGGCGGACGGGUGAGUAACACGUGGGUAACCUGCCCAUAAGACUGGGAUAACUCCGGGAAACCGGGGCUAAUACCGGAUAACAUUUUGAACCGCGUGGUUCGAAAUUGAAAGGCGGCUUCGGCUGUCACUUAUGGCUGGACCCGCGUCGCAUUAGCUAGUUGGUGAGGUAACGGCUCACCAAGGCAACGAUGCGUAGCCGACCUGAGAGGGGGAUCGGCCACACUGGGACUGAGAAACGGCCCAGACUCCUACGGGAGGCAGCAGUAGGGAAUCUUCCGCAAUGGACGAAAGUCUGACGGAGCAACGCCGCGUGAGUGAUGAAGGCUUUCGGGUCGUAAAACUCUGUUGUUAGGGAAGAACAAGUGCUAGUUGAAUAAGCUGGCACCUUGACGGUACCUAACCAGAAAGCCACGGCUAACUACGUGCCAGCCGCCGCAGUAA